UACGUAGGGGGCAAGCGUUGUCCGGAUUUAUUGGGCGUAAAGAGCGUGUAGGCGGCCAUACAGGUCAGCUGUGAAAACUCGAGGCUCAACCUCGAGACGUCGGUUGAAACCGUAUGGCUAGAGUCCGGAAGAGGAGAGUGGAAUUCCCGGUGUAGCGGUGAAAUGCGCAGAUAUCGGGAAGAACACCCGUGGCGAAGGCGGCUCUCUGGGACGGUACUGACGCUCUGCACGAAAGCGUGGGGAGCAAACAGGG
rnacentral:rRNA from 1 species